rnacentral:rRNA from 1 species
CUACGUGCCAGCAGCCGCGGUAAUACGGAGGGUGCGAGCGUUAAUCGGAAUAACUGGGCGUAAAGGGCACGCAGGCGGCUAUUUAAGUGAGGUGUGAAAUCCCCGGGCUUAACCUGGGAAUUGCAUUUCAGACUGGGUAGCUAGAGUACUUUAGGGAGGGGUAGAAUUCCACGUGUAGCGGUGAAAUGCGUAGAGAUGUGGAGGAAUACCGAAGGCGAAGGCAGCCCCUUGGGAAUGUACUGACGCUCAUGUGCGAAAGCGUGGGGAGCAAACAGGAUUAGAUACCCUGGUAGUCCACGCUGUAAACGCUGUCGAUUUGGGGAUUGGGCCUUGAGCUUGGUGCCCGAAGCUAACGUGAUAAAUCGACCGCCCGGGGAGUACGGCCGCAAGGUUAAAACUCAAAUGAAUUGACGGGGGCCCGCACAAGCGGUGGAGCAUGUGGUUUAAUUCGAUGCAACGCGAAGAACCUUACCUACUCUUGACA